CAAGGCUCACGCACGUACACAAAAGGGCAGGAAAGCAGAGAUGAGGGUGAGCUACAACUUCCCGAUCCAGAUCAGAGAUAUGCCCAAAGUUUAGGGAAGCCGGGCUCCGGAGCAGAACUUCCUCACUGGCUGGGGAAUAGAAGUUUUGUUCAGCCCCAUUCAGCGCCAGGAGCCGGAUGUCCAGUUCCAAGCCUCCCCAAAAGGCAGGGGGUUGCUUUGCGCACCUCUGCGCAAGGAACUAAUUCAAAACAGGGGUUUUGACAGAACAAAACAGAAACAAACAAACGGGAACAAUUUCUCCCCCACUCCUGCUCCCAGCGUCAUCUACGCUGGAAGAGUCCCAGCUAAAAAACAGGCGAAGUGCCUAGCGUACACGUGGGUAUUACAUCCUUCGGCCCCAUGUCUCGCAAUACCCCCCGUUGUUUCUCCUAAGGACUACGCUCAGGGGGGUGGGUUGGAACCAGAAGUUUAGCGGAGAAGCCGCUUCAAACGGGAGUCCAAAGGCUCAGCGGCGCUCCCACUCCCCAGCACAUCUGUCUGAGAGCAUGAUGCCACAACUGAAGCAAAGUGAGCAAGAGACAAGAGGAGCUUUAGCACCUAUCCUCAUGCCAAACCAUUCAUCAACAAUGCCAGAGAGAUGAAAGACACCCUCAGUCUGCUGCUGGGAGAGUGGCAGAUUUCAUUGUAAACUUUUGGUGAGGCCACUCAUGACAUUCUUUCAACACAUUCUGUACAUCUCACUCCCAGUCAGAACCAACUGCAAAACCUGGAAUGGAUCAAACUGCUGUAGAAGACAAGGCAGAGGACACAGCAAUCAAGACCUCCACAUUAAGAACUGCCCAAGAUCGAUAAAAACAUCUCUCAGUUAAAUUGUAGAAAACAUGCACACGAACAAAACAAGGAACUCGUACCCAGGCUUACAGGGUCAAUCCAUAAAGAACAGUGUUAGACCAUAACAAUCUCAUUUCUCUUCCAGACAGUUCUUUUGUCACAGCUGUUCAGUCUUCUAUGAAUAGGCUACAGUCGCGUUCAUAGUGCUUGUGAAAUUUGACAUUUAAAAAAUGGAACACAUUUUAUUACAUUAUACAUUUUACUGCACUAGUUUGUGGGUCAGCCUGUCUAUUUCUGUCGGUCACCACCUGAAGUAUAAACAGCAACUAGUUGUUAUACCUCUAGGGAAAAUCCUAUUGGGUGUAUGUGUUGAGAAAAUGCAUAAAAUAUGUGAUCAGGGCAUUAAAUAGUCUCCACGGGGCUGGCAGGCAGGCUUUUAAUUCAUCUCUGAAUUUUCUAGCAU